rnacentral:tRNA from 1 species
GGCGGCGUAGCUUAGUUGGUGAGAGCGUUCGGUUCAUACCCGAAAGGUCGGUGGUUCGACUCCACUCGCCGCUACCA